AGCAGUAGCCACGGUAAUACGUAGGUGGCAAGCGUUGUCCGGAAUUAUUGGGCGUAAAGGGCUCGCAGGCGGUUUCUUAAGUCUGAUGUGAAAGCCCCCGGCCCAACCGGGGAGGGUCAUUGGAAACUGGGAAACUUGAGUGCAGAAGAGGGGAGUGAAAUUCCACGUGUAGCGGUGAAAUACGUAGAGAUGUGGAGGAACACCAGUGGCGAAGGCGACUCUCUGGUCUGUAACUGACGCUGAGGAGCGAAAGCGUGGGGAGCGAACAGGAUUAGAUACCCGAGUAGUCCCUGUCUCUUAUAC
rnacentral:rRNA from 1 species